GACGAACGCUGGCGGCGUGCCUAAUACAUGCAAGUCGAGCGGACUUAAAAAGCUUGCUUUUUAAGUUAGCGGCGGACGGGUGAGUAACACGUGGGCAACCUGCCUGUAAGACUGGGAUAACUUCGGGAAACCGGAGCUAAUACCGGAUAAUCCUUUUCUACUCAUGUAGAAAAGCUGAAAGACGGUUUACGCUGUCACUUACAGAUGGGCCCGCGGCGCAUUAGCUAGUUGGUGAGGUAACGGCUCACCAAGGCGACGAUGCGUAGCCGACCUGAGAGGGGGGUCGGCCAACCGGGGACGGGGACACGGCCCAGACUCCUAGGGGAGGCAGCAGUAGGGAAUCUUCCGCAAUGGACGAAAGUCUGACGGAGCAACGCCGGGGGAGUGAUGAAGGUUUUCGGAUCGUAAAACUCUUUUGUUAGGGAAGAACAAGUACGAGGGUAACGGCCCGUACCUGGACGGUACCUAACCAGAAAGCCACGGCUAACUACGG
rnacentral:rRNA from 1 species